GGCAAGGGGGGCUUGCUACACUGCAAGUCGAACGAAGCACCAGAGAAUGAUUCUUCGGAUGAAAUCUCUUGUGACUGAGUGGCGGACGGGUGAGUAACGCGUGGGCAACCUGCCCCGUGCCGGGGGAUACCGCCUGGAAACAGGCGCUAAUACCGCAUAAGCGCAUACAGCCGCAUGGGUGUAUGCGGAAAGCUCCGGCGGCACGGGAUGGGCCCGCGCCCGAUUAGCCAGUUGGCGGGGUAACGGCCCACCAAAGCGACGAUCGGUAACCGGCCUGAGAGGGCGGACGGCCACAUUGGGACUGAGACACGGCCCAAACUCCUACGGGAGGCAGCAGUGGGGAAUAUUGCACAAUGGGGGAAACCCUGAUGCAUCAACGCCGCGUGGGUGAAGGAGCGUUUCGGCGCGUAAAGCCCUGUCAGCGGGGAAGAAGAAAGACGGUACCCGACCAAGAAGCCCCGGCUAACUACGUGCCAGCAGCCGCGGUAAUACGUAUGGGGCGAGCGUUAUCCGGAAUUACUGGGUGUAAAGGGAGCGUAGACGGCGAGGUAAGCCUGAAGUGGAAGCCCGCGGCCCAACCGCGGAACUGCUUUGGGAACUGUUUUGCUGGAGUAUGGGAGGGGUAAGCGGAAUUCCUGGUGUAGCGGUGAAAUGCGUAGAUAUCAGGAGGAACACCGGUGGCGAAAGCGGCUUACUGGACCAUAACUGACGUUGAGGCUCGAAAGCGUGAGGAGCGAACAGGAUUAGAUACGCUGGUAGUCCACGCCGUAAACGAUGAUUACCAGGUGUCGGGUGUCGAACGACGGCCGGUGCCGCAGCGAACGCAGUAAGUAAUCCACCUGAGGAGUAC
rnacentral:rRNA from 1 species